CCCUUAGAUGUUCUGGGCCGCACGCGCGCUACACUGACGAAUGCAACGAGCUUAUAACCUUGGCCGAAAGGUCUGGGUAAUCUCCAAAUUUCGUCGUGAUGGGGAUAGAUUAUUGCAAUUAUUAAUCUUCAACGAGGAAUGCCUAGUGAGCGCAAGUCAUCAGCUUGCGUUGAUUACGUCCCUGCCCUUUGUACACACCGCCCGUCGCUCCUACCGAUUGAAUGGUCCGGUGAAGCGUUCGGACCGUGGCCUUUGGACGGUUCGCCGUCUGUUGGCUGCGGGAAGUUCGUUAAACCUUAUCAUUUAGAGGAAGGAGAANUCGUANCA
rnacentral:rRNA from 1 species